GUUCCCUGGAACGGGACGCCAGAGAGGGUGAGAGCCCCGUACGGCCGGACGCCCAGCCCGUGCAAAGCUCCUUCGACGAGUCGAGUAGUUUGGGAAUGCUGCUCAAAACGGGAGGUAAAUUUCUUCUAAAGCUAAAUACCGGCCAGAGACCGAUAGCGCACAAGUAGAGUGAUCGAAAGAUGAAAAGCACUUUGAAAAGAGGGUUAAACAGCACGUGAAAUUGUUGAAAGGGAAGCGCCUGGGGCCAGACGUGCGCCCCGCGGACCACCCGGCGCCCCGCGCGCCGGGGCACGCCGCGGGCGCGCAGGCCAGCAUCGGCUCCCCGCCAGGGGGACAAGGGCCGCGGGAACGUAGCUCCUCCNGGGAGCGUUAUAGCCCGCGGCGCCAUGCCCCUGGGGGGGCCGAGGACCGCGCUCCCCGCGAGCAAGGAUGCUGGCGUAAUGGCCCCCAGCGACCCGUCUUGAAACACGGACCAAGGAGUCAAGCAUUGGGGCGAGUGUCUGGGUGCCAAACCCGCACGCGAAAUGAAAGUGAACGCAGGUGGGAGCCCGCGGMCCCCCCGGGGCCCGGGGGCGCACCACCGACCGAUCCUGAUGUCCUCGGAUGGAUUUGAGUAGGAGCCUUGCCGCUUGGACCCGAAAGAUGGUGAACUAUGCCUGGAUAGGGUGAA
rnacentral:rRNA from 1 species